GUCGAGAAUAAUUCACAAUGGGGGAAACCCUGAUGGUGCAACGCCGCGUGGAGGAUGAAGGUCUUCGGAUUGUAAACUCCUGUCAUCCGAGAGUAAGACCUGGCGGUAAAUAGCCGACAGGGUUGAUAGUAUCGGAAGAGGAAGGGACGGCUAACUUCGUGCCAGCAGCCGCGGUAAUACGAAGGUCCCAAGCGUUGUUCGGAAUCACUGGGCGUAAAGGGAGCGUAGGCGGCAUGGUAAGUCAGGUGUGAAAUCCCGGGGCUCAAACCCGGAACUGCACCCGAUACUGCCAGGCUAGAGGGUUGGAGAGGUGACUGGAAUUCUCGGUGUAGCAGUGAAAUGCGUGGAUAUCGAGAGGAACACUCGUGGCGAAGGCGAGUCACUGGACAACAUCUGACGCUGAGGCUCGAAGGCUAGGGGAGCAAAAGGGAUUAGAAACCCUUGUAGUCC
rnacentral:rRNA from 1 species